CUCCCUACGGGGGGCAGCAGUGGGGGAUAUUGCACAAUGGGGGGAACCCUGAUGCAGCAACGCCGCGUGGGUGAAGGAGUACCCCGGUACGUAAAGCCCUAUCGGCAGGGAAGAAGAUGACGGUACCUGACUAAGAAGCCCCGGCUAACUACGUGCCAGCAGCCGCGGUAAUACGUAGGGGGCAAGCGUUAUCCGGCUUUACUGGGUGUAAAGGGAGCGUAGGUGGCAAGGCAAGUCAGAU
rnacentral:rRNA from 1 species